UUCAUUAGAUUGAGCUUCAGGUAAAAAGCAACAGCAAGACAGGAGAAAAAGCGUUCAGAAGACACACAUCAAAUAGCGGAUGAAGACAUAAUUUUAGCCAACUCUGAAGCUUUCGACGCACAAACAGAUUAGGAAGAGGCAACACCUAGAGAGCAAAAGGAGUUUAACAACUGGUUGUCAGUUUAGCGUAGGGAGCGCUCAAAGUAAACUUCUUUAUCCAAGAAGGGAAAGAUGCUCGGGCAGCAAAAGGUAUCCCUUAUGUACUUCAAAAGUAGCGGGCGCUAGGCGGGUGUUUCUGACAGCGUGGGCGGGGGCACGUGGGGCAUAAAGAGAGAAGGGGCUUGAGUGGUGAAAGAGUGUCCUGCUUCCUCCGAGAGCUUAGCUGGGGAGAAGAGCUGGGAGCGACUCGAGCUGAGGACGUGGAAGGGGUGAGUGCUAAUUCCUCAGGGCCCGCGGGGCCCACCCCCGGGCCCACCCCCAAUCCUACCCCCGCCAGGCCCUUCCCCCGUGGGCGCCGGCAGCUCCAGGCCCAGCCCAGGGCGUCCAACGCGGAGGGGGUGCAGGAGUUCUCCUGGGCCUGACAGCCUCAGCCGUGCAGAAACCCGGCCUAGGGAGGGCAUGCAAAGAAGGACGCCAGAGAAAAAGCCCGCUCCGGACACUGCGCUCCAACCAGGAGGAGCAGGAGGAGGAGGAGGAUGAACAAAAUGGCCGCCGCCACCAGCCAGGCAGGAAACAGGGCAGAGCGCAGGCGCGACCCGCCAGGUCACCGCUCAGGCCAGCCGCGACAGCCUGCAAGGGGGACGACCGAGGGGAGAGAAAAAAGGGCCGCCGAGGAAACCCUGGGACCCGCUCACGACGGAUCACGUCGUCGCUGUGGGCCUCUGGCCGGCCGAAGCCCAGCCAGCUCCGGGAGAGAUCGGGCAAAAAGAGAAACGUCGUGAAGCCGAAGUCUCUGGGAAUUGUGGUCCUGGAAAUGAGAGAGGGAAGCACUUCUGCAGAGGACUUCUGGAACCUGUGGUUAAGAGGAGCCGCCGGCGCCCACCCGCGCUGGGACGUGAAGAGGAGACUUCUGGGUAGUGUAGUCAUACGUGAGGACGUGCGACGACCAGGAAGUCGGCGGGCUGGGAGGUAAAGGGAAGAAUAAAAGCGACAUUGAAAGGCGGGGAGACCAAGUGGGGAAAAGCGCUGUCUGGGAAAGCGAACUACAAGUCCCAGAGUUCCUCGCGCCGGGGGCUGUCCUCGGACUGCUCCAGGCAUUGUAAGGCUCUUCUGUUGGCCCAGUCUGAGCUGCUGCUCCGCCUUCGUCCAGCCCGAGAGCGGUUUCUUCAACUGUGGCUCAGGCAGCACUCUCCCUCCGCGUGGUGUCCGAGCCAGCAGGGCCGUCCGGCCCUCCUGUGUUCAUCAGAACGGCUGGCUCGCGUUAGUCAACCGCCGCUUCGCGCGACAGUCAGAAGAGAGGCUGUGCUGGCGGGGACCCGGAGGGGUUGGGGUGUUUUGGGGACUCGAUUUCCCACAAAUAGGUAUUUCUAGCCUAUUUGUUAAAUACAAGUAGGUGGCCUGCUUGUAAAUUGCUUUACAAGUUUCAGAGGUUUCCCUAUCAAAUGUCUCAUCGGAUAGUGGGGUAAGAAGAGGAGCCCUAUUAUAAUGACUUGCCCAACUCCCCCCGUAUUCUUGGAGUUAAAAGAAAAAAAAAUCCUUGGGCAGAGACGUGCACAAACAUAAAGUUGCGUUUACAGACAUCAGUCAUGUGGGCUAGAAACGCAGUUUUGCAUGAAGAUAGGGGAAGCCAUGUUCAUACUAGCUCUGCAUCCCUGUAGAAUUUGUCUUCUCACCCCCCACAACAGUUCCUGGUGUGCUUUUUUCCUCCUCUAAGUACCUUCAGGAGAAAGUACUUGGUCUUGUAGCUUAGUGAAGAGUGGCGAUGAAGAAAGAUCUUUCAGCCCAUUGCCAGAACUUAACUGCCCCGGUUAGUAAUGGCUUAAGAGUUGCUUCUGCCGACAUGUACUAAGUGCAUGUCGACCUCUGCAAGUGGCGGUGCGUAUGCGUGCCACUGAACAUUAAUCUUGAAAGCAGAAUCAACCAUGCAGCAAGCCCUUAUGUUGUCCAUUUUCAGGGGAGGAAAUUUCAACCUGAAAGACUUCAUAGAGACACGGCAAAGGAGUUGAGCCCCAUAAGAGUCCGUAGGAACAACAAAAGGCUCAGACGCCAGGACCCAUGGCUAAAAUGUAUGGGCUGGGGAUGCGGGCGGGAGCGGGGGGAAGGGAACUAAAGCUAGAGAGGACCUUGUAGAACCGUGUUGUCAAGAAUCUAUUUCAUGCUGAGGAAUUUGAGCUUUCUCUUCCAGGCAGUGAGGAGCCACUCAAAGGUUUUGUCUAUGUUUUUAAUUGGACCUAGGUGUAGAACUGGAUUUAAUUAUAAUCCAAUUCAUUAACCCAUGCCUGGCCCGCUGUGAUAGUUUCCUGUUGAUGCUGUAACAAAUUACUGCAAAUUUAGAUACUUAAAACAACACGAAUUUAUUUUCUUACAAUUCUGGAAGUCAGAAGUCCAAAAUCAGUUACACUGGGCUAAAAUCAAGGUGUCGGCAGGGCUGGUUCCUUGCCUUUUCCAGCUUCUAGAGGCUGCCUGCAUUCCUUGGCUCUUGGCCCCAUCCUCCAUCUUCAAGAAAAGAAGCAUAGUAUCUUCUUUCUUCUCUGCCUCUGUACGUACAUCGUGAUUCUCCUGCCACCCCUUUUCAUUUACGAGAACCUUUUGUGAUUACUUUGGGCGAAGAUUAUCUCAAGAUUCUUAAUCACAUCUGCAAAGUCCCUUUUAGCAUAACAUUCCCAAAUUCUGGGAAUUAGGACAUAGAAAUCUUUGGUGGACCAUUAUUCAGUUUACCGCACCCACCUUUAUUACUUUAGUUUUGAUUAUAGCCACAAACCCACCACACUAAAAAGUUAUAAUGACACGAGUUUAUAUCUGUAUCUAUGCUAUACCUCCUACACACAAUAACACACACCCCUGCCUUCGCUUGGGGUAACCAUCUUUCUGAAUCCUGUCUUUACUAUUUAUUGCUUUCCUUCUACAAGGUUUUAUUCCACAUGUACAUAGUCCUAAAAAUCAUAUGUAUAUACAUGUAUAUUUGAGUUUUUUUUUAACUUAGUAAAAAGAAUAUGCCCACUACAAACUAGAAUGGUUAAAAUGGGCAUGUUUACUGGCAGUGAAAUUAUUAAGGUUAAAAUCCAAAACACUAACACCACCAAGUGCUGGUGAGUAUGAAAAGCAACAGGAACUAUCAUUCUUUGCUGGUAGGACUGCAAAAUGUUAUAGCCCCUUUGGAGGACAGCUUGUCAGUUCCUUACAAAACUAAACAUAAUGCCUAGGUACUUACCCAAAUGAGCUGAAAACAUGUUUACAUAAAAACCUGCACACAAAUGUUUACAGCAGCUUUGUUCAUAAUCAUCCCAAAUUGGAAGCAACUAAGAUGUCCUUGAUAUAAGUGAAUGGAUAAACUGUCGUACAAGGUGGUACAUCCAUGCAAAGAAAUAUUGUUCAGUGAUUUUUUUAAAAAGAGCUAUUGAUAUGGUUUGGCUCUGUAUCCCCACCCAAUCUGAUCUUGAAUUGUACUCCCAUAAUUCCCACGUGUUGUGGGAGGGACCUGGUGGGAGAUAAUUUGAAUCCUGGGGGCAGUUUCCCCCAGACUGUUCUUGUGGUAGUGAAUAAGUCUCACGAGAUCUGAUGGUUUUAUCAGGGGUUUCCGCUUUUGCAUCAUCCUCAUUUUCUCUUGCUGCCACCAUGAUUCUGAGGCCUUCCCAGCCAUGUGGAACUCUAAGUCCAAUUAAACCUCUUUUUCUUCCC
rnacentral:lncRNA from 1 species